rnacentral:lncRNA from 1 species
CAGAUCUUGGCCUUCUUUCCGAGGACAGAUAAACUGCACAGGGAAAAGAGAGAGAGAAGAGCAAGUGGAAGAAGAAGUCAUGGAAGGUCGAAGAAGGAUGAUGGGAAGUCACAGGAGCCGGCCAAUUCCGAAGAGAGGUCAAGUGAAAGUGGCGAUCGUGGUGGGGUUUGCAAAGUAUUUGGCCUCUUUCUUUGCUAAUCAGAACGGAAGCUCUUUUACAUCACAAGAUUACUGACAUUUCAGGAAUUCUUUUAUGAGAUUUUUGAGCUCAAGAAUUAAACACUGCCUACGCUUAAGAUGUUUAUUCACUGGCUACUCUGUUGGGCCCUUUCUUGUAGGGAACUCGGUAUUAUGGAGAGAGGGGGGGAAAGAAGUCAUGUGGCUGCAAUUUUGUUGCCCAUUUUUGUACAUAAUCCCAAAGGUAGUGGAAGCAUUUGAUGACUCUCCACAGAUUGUUUCCUUGUUUCUUUAUACCAUCUUUUUGUUUGUUGGGGUUGUAAGAUAAGUUCCGCUUCCUUGGCCAUUUUUCGUAUCCUUCAAAUUUUUCAGCUGAUUUUGAUUCCAUCAUAUUUGGUGUAGUGAAAUUAGAGAUCAAUUUAAGUAUAAG